AGGGACUAAAGCUGUAAAUACCUAAAAAUAAGAUUAAUAAAAAUGAUUAAUAAUAAAAACCCACACACAGUACGUGUGUGGGGUUCUGUACGAUCGAACAAGGGCCAAGGGGGGAAAGAAACCCUAGCUUCAUCUAAUUCACAAGGAAAACUAUAAAGAUUCAAGGAAAUUGAAAGCAUAAUCAGGAAAUUGCAAGCUCUUAACUUGUCCAUUGAAAGGGCGUAAAGGAAGAGGGCUCAGGUUCUAAGAAGUCGGAAAGCUCACAAGACAAAGGUAAAUCCUCAUCUUAGACUAUUUGGCGAGUUGAAGCGAGCACGUGAUCACCACUUAACAUAUCAAGCGCUUCCGCUAGUUGCUUUAAUGUUUUGGGUCAAAUAAUUGUGAAGAUUUGUCUAAACUUGCUAGUAGAUGUAUUGGUCAAAAUUUAUGUUUUCUUUGGAUUUUCAUUGCGUCUAGUCGUAAGGGUCAUGGAAUAUUUUGUAUGAAAGUUGUAU